CUCGCAGUAUAUCCCUGUGAUUCGGUUGUUUUGAGAUUCCGAUCACAGGAGUAUAUACUGUGAG
rnacentral:pre_miRNA from 1 species